rnacentral:rRNA from 1 species
GGAUUAGAUACCCUGGUAGUCCACGCCGUAAACGGUGAGAGCUCGUCGUAGUGGGUAUUGACCCCUGCUGUGACCAAGUUAACGCAUGAAGCUCUCCGCCUGGGAAGUACGGUCGCAAGACUAAAACUCAAAGAAAUUGACGGGGGCCCGCACAAGCGGUGGAGCAUGUUGUUUAAUUCGAAGCAACGCGCAGAACCUUACCUGGAUUUGACAUCUCGGGAAUCUUCCUGAAAAGGAAGAGUGCCUUCGGGAACCCGAUGACAGGUGCUGCAUGGCUGUCGUCAGCUCGUGCCG